AGAGAAAGACUGAAUUCUUACUCUUCAAAGAAAAAUAUCAAAAGGAGGAUCAUGUUCAAGCUAUCGCUGGUUGGCCUGCUCCUGUUUGUUAAUAACAUUCUGGGAACAACUUCACCAACAACAACAUCAAACUCUGUGGCAGUAUCCACUCCUGGGUCAAGUCUGAAUCCUGGCACCAGACCUAACCCGAGGACCAGCACCACUCCCAGAAUGAACCCCAAUCCCAGGACAAGUCCAAAUCUCAAAAUGACAUCGAAUCCCAAGACAACUCAAAAUUCUAAGACAAGUCUAAUUACAGCAGUGACCCCAAAGAUAGCCACAAGUAAGAAUAUGAACACUGUGAAAAAUGGUAGCACCACACUCAAUCCAACGGACAACAUUCCUUUUAUUUUCUAUGUAACAUUUUUGCUGUUUUGUGUACACUUGCACUCAGGCUGAAGUGAACUUCAACUGCCUGCAUUCUUAUCUCAGUUUCUUAUUACCUGCUGAAUGACAAGGACAUUAGGAAAUUAUCACUUACUUCAACUUACUACUUAAGAAAUUAU